CACAUCACGGUAGCUUUGGUGUUUGUACAGAAAUACACAGCAUCGGGUGCCGCUUUUCAUUUCAGCAGAGACCCGAACUGUUUUCUACUUUCUCCAGUAAAGGGAACUAUGGUAAUUAGUCUCAAGGUGUGCUUUAGCUACCAGGAGCCUGGGAGCAGAGGGUCUCAGAGCGACUCCCCGAUUCUCCCGUGGUCAACCUGGCAGAGGCCCCUUGCUGUGGAUGGACGUUUGCACCCCCGAGAAAUUCCCAUGUUGAAGCCUAAUCCCCAGGUGAUGGAUUAGGAGGUGACACACAGCGAGAAGACAGCCACCGGAAGACCAGCAAGAGGGUCCUCGCCAGACAUCUCACCUGCUGGUGCUUUGGUCUUGGACAUACCAGCCGUUGGAGCUGUGAGAAGUAAAGGUAUGUUGUCACCCAGUCUAUUGGCGGUUGCUAGGGCAGCCUGGGCUGACCGAGACUGUCUCCGGUUUUCCCAGACACUCUCCACGUCACCCGGCAUUGGAAUCGUUUGCACACACGCCUUUCCCGGACUGUAAACUUCGGGGAACGCUUGCCACAGUGGGGAAAGGAAACACCUGCUGGAUGUCCCACGAGCUCAGUAAAACCUAGAACAGCCGAGCCUGAGACGGAGCCAUUAACCUGAGUCGCCGGAUGCGGAUGGGAAACGUUUUUUCUUUGCUUUGUUGGCAACUCAGUUUUGCUAAUACGCUGGAUGCGCGAGUGUAGGCAUCUCAUGGGCUGAUCGUAUGGAGCCUGGGAACUCACCUGGGGGACGGGGGGAGCCAAAUAAAGGAGACACGCUGGCGCCCUCCGCAAUGGUGUCUCUAUGGCGUGAACUGGGCAAGAACCAGAUGGAGCCAAGGGUAGUGCUUAGUAACUACCCUCAACCUGCCACUCUGGGUCCGCUGCUGAAUUUGUUGGCAUAUAAGAA